rnacentral:rRNA from 1 species
UACGGAGGGUGCAAGCGUUGUUCGGAAUUACUGGGCGUAAAGCGCGCGUAGGCGGUCUCCUAAGUCUGGUGUGAAAGCCCGGGGCUCACCCCCGGAAGCGCACUGGAAACUGGAAGACUGGAGUACCGGAGAGGAAGGUGGAAUUCCUGGUGUAGCGGUGAAAUGCGUAGAUAUCAGGAGGAACACCGGUGGCGAAGGCGGCCUUCUGGACUGAUACUGACGCUGAGGCGCGAAAGCGUGGGGAGCAAACAGG